GCUGGGCGCGGUGGCGCGUGCCUGUAUUCCCAGCAGCUCGGGAGGCUGAGGUGGGAGGCUCGCCUGAGCCCAGGAGUUCAGGGCUGUAGUGCGCUAUGCCGAUCGGGUGUCGGCACUAAAGUUCGGCAUCAAAUGGUGACCUCCCGGGAGCGGGGGACCACCAGGUUGCCUAAAGAGGGGUGAGCCGGCCCAGGUCGGAAACGGAGCAGGUCAAAACUCCCGUGCUGAUCAGUAGUGGGAUCGCACCUGCGAAUAGCCACUGCACUCCAGCCUGGGCAACAUAGCGAGACCCAGCAUCGU
rnacentral:SRP_RNA from 1 species